AGAGUUUGAUCCUGGCUCAGAUUGAACGCUGGCGGCAUGCCUUACACAUGUAAGUCGAACGGCAGCGCGGGGCAACCUGGCGGCGAGUGGCGAACGGGUGAGUAAUAUAUCGGAACGUACCCUGGAGUGGGGGAUAACGUAGCGAAAGUUACGCUAAUACCGCAUACGAUCUAAGGAUGAAAGUGGGGGAUCGCAAGACCUCAUGCUCCUGGAGCGGCCGAUAUCUGAUUAGCUAGUUGGCGGGGUAAAAGCCCACCAAGGCAACGAUCAGUAGCUGGUCUGAGAGGACGACCAGCCACACUGGAACUGAGACACGGUCCAGACUCCUACGGGAGGCAGCAGUGGGGAAUUUUGGACAAUGGGCGCAAGCCUGAUCCAGCAAUGCCGCGUGGGUGAAGAAGGCCUUCGGGUUGUAAAGCUCUUUUGUCAGGGAAGAAACGGUGGGGG
rnacentral:rRNA from 1 species